CACGUAGGGGCCAAGCGUUGUCCGGAUUUAUUGGGCGUAAAGAGCUCGUAGGCGGUUCGACAAGUCGGGUGUGAAAACUCCGGGCUCAACCCGGAGACGCCACCCGAUACUGUCGUGACUGGAGUCCGGUAGGGGAGUGGGGAAUUCCUGGUGUAGCGGUGAAAUGCGCAGAUAUCAGGAGGAACACCGGUGGCGAAGGCGCCACUCUGGGCCGGUACUGACGCUCAGGCACGAAAGCGUGGGUAGCAAACAGG
rnacentral:rRNA from 1 species